rnacentral:rRNA from 1 species
UACGAAGGGGGCUAGCGUUGCUCGGAAUCACUGGGCGUAAAGAGUUCGUAGGUGGUUCGUUAAGUCUGGUGUUAAAGACUGGGGCUCAACCCUGGAAGUGCAUUGGAUACUGGCGGACUGGAGUGCAGUAGAGGCAAGCGGAAUUCCCAGUGUAGCGGUGAAAUGCGUAGAUAUUGGGAAGAACACCGGUGGCGCAAGCGGCUUGCUGGGCUGUAACUGACGCUGAGGAACGAAAGCUAGGGGAGCGAAUGGG